AUUGAACGCUGGCGGCAUGCUUUACACAUGCAAGUCGAACGGUAACAGGCCGCAAGGUGCUGACGAGUGGCGAACGGGUGGGUAAUGCAUCGGGACGUGCCCAGUCGUGGGGGAUAACGCAGCGAAAGCUGCGCUAAUACCGCAUACGAUCUAUGGAUGAAAGCGGGGGACCGUAAGGCCUCGCGCGAUUGGAGCGGCCGAUGUCAGAUUAGGUAGUUGGUGGGGUAAAGGCUCACCAAGCAAACGAUCUGUAGCUGGUCUGAGAGGACGACCAGCCACACGGGGACUGGUGCACGGGCAAGACGCCGACGGGAGGCAGCAGUGGGGAAUUUUGGACAAUGGGCGCAAGCCUGAUCCAGCAAUGCCGCGUGCAGGAAGAAGGCCUUCGGGUUGUAAACUGCUUUUGUACGGAACGAAACGGUCCUGGUUAAUACCUGGGGCUAAUGACGGUACCGUAAGAAUAAGCACCGGCUAACUACGUGCCAGCAGCCGCCGUAAUAC
rnacentral:rRNA from 1 species